UAUUUUAGCCAACUGAAAGGUUAAUUAUUGCGAUAAUUCAAAUCUGCUCGCGUACCACUUGAAAAACUCCCGUACCACAGGUUGAGAACCACUGCUCUACAUAGACUGAUAACCAGACGAGAGUCUGUGGUUCGUAAUAUGAUUAUGCAGUGUUAUCGGCUUUUCCUCCCCCGAGAUAAAUGUGCAAAACCUAUCCUAAAUCAUGUUGAUAAUAAGCCCCGAAAUGUGAUGUCACUAUACAUAUUACAACUUUGCUAUACCAGGGGACCAGAAACUGUGGGAUAUUCAAUCACUAAGCCAUAUGAAAUAUUUAAUCCCUAAAUUUGAAUGAUAUUUGUUUGCGUUUUUAUAGCAGGUAAUAAAGAUAAAAAUAAUAUGCUAGAUAGUAAAAUUGAAAUUUUUUUAAGGGGCAAAAUGAACAAGAAGAAGCUGGUUCUGUAGGUGGAAACCAAGCAAUAGAAUAAACCAAUACAGCAGGAAGGUGAUGACGAUGCCGAUGAUCUUGAGAAGUUUCCCAAACUGACCACAUUCUAAAGACAUUGCUAAGAUACAAAUGUUUCAUCAACAUGUUACUGUUAAUGUCGUAUAUUCAACAUUAAAUUUCUCCAAUAAUCUCAGACUGAAUGCUGAAUGAUUCUGUGGUUUCCUGCAACACAUUAUGGACAUGCAUAUGUAGUGAAGGGAUCAAAUAUUAGAAAUAUUAACUCUUAAAGACUAGAUAGUCUAGUCCAGUUAUAGUGGAAUUGAGGGAAAAUUUUUUUUUUUUUGUGUGAAAUGCUGAUUUAUUUUGCAUAGGCUUGGAUUGUGAAAACAUAGUAAUUGACUCUUAGUCAUAUGCACUACCCUUCAGCAACGAUUUCGGCAAUUUAGGUCAUCCCUCACAAGAUUUGACCUCUUGAACUGACCUCAGAGCAUUUUGUAAAAUUCUGCACCAAAUCCUGAUUUGCAUGUUUUUUCAUACAAAUUCUUGUCAUUUCAUAAUUUUUUUUUCCUAUUAGUUUUACAAAUUAGGUUGGGUGCUGCAUUAAUGCUUCAGCUUCUUAUGUACUAUUUUUAGUGAGUCAUAACAAACUCACGUUAAGCUUUUCCAGAUAUCAUGUGUAUUGUUUGGUGACCGUACAUUUGAACCCACGUACAUUUGAACCCAUGCGUAUAUCCGCGGGUUCAAUCUAUAUGCGGGUGCUAAAACCCACGGGUUAGGGUGAGUAUGGGUUCAAAUAUCCAUAAAACAAAAAACAAUUCAUAAGUGCGAUAGUAUGCAGGUACAAUUGCCAUGGGUUCAAAUGUAAUGGAACCGUAUUGUUUUUAUGUCGCCCUCAUUCAGCAAUUUUUGUGCAAUUAUAAUUUUUAUGGUAUGUCAACAACUUUCUUUGUUUAGGUCAGGUUUUGAGUUUUUUCUUAUAAUUGUCAACUGCUGUACUUAUUCUUGCUGUAUAUCAGUUUACUUUGCCACUCCACAUUUUUGCUUGAAUUUUAAAAUAUAUAAAAACUAUAAAAAUCAAUAAAACUAUAAAUAAAAAAAAAUCCAAGUUAUUAACCUAUAUCGUAACUCGUUUCAAAUAGCCAUUGUUCGAAUUUUUAUUAAUUUUUGUUGUGAAAUGCAUUAUUAUCUUUUUCUUUUAUGUUUUUCAAUUAUUGUCAACCACUGAUAUCUAUUAUUUCUGUGUAUAUUUUAAAACAUCUCUAUGAAUUAAUGAUAUUCUGAUUUGUCGACAAACCUGCCAUAAAUUAUACAUUCCAUGACUGUUAUAAUAACAGUCGGACUGGAGUGAUUGAUUUUUGGCUCAGUGUUGUGGUUUGAUAUUGUGUUCCGAAAACUUGGUAGCUAAGGACUCUACUGGAGCCCAGUGUAACUUUGCCCCUAAUCUAUGUAAAGUAAUAAGAAAUGUCCAUUAUGAAUUCUAGUAAUAUUAUAAUAGUGAUUCAUGUAGAUUAUUACAAUGAUGUUUUGUUUUGCAAUGCCUAUUACGAAUUUUCAUUUUUUUGUUUUGUGUGAGUCAGCUUUUUAAAUUUUCAUGUACUGCAAUCCGCUUUUCUUGUUCAUCAUUAUUCUCUAUAACUCCGUGUGUUUUUCUAAGUUUUA